UACGAGAGGCCCAAACGUUAUUCGGAAUUAUUGGGCGUAAAGAGCUCGUAGGCGGUCUGUCGCGUCGGAUGUGAAAACCCAGGGCUCAACCCUGGGCCUGCAUUCGAUACGGGCAGACUAGAGUGUGGCAGGGGAGACUGGAAUUCCUGGUGUAGCGGUGAAAUGCGCAGAUAUCAGGAGGAACACCGGUGGCGAAGGCGGGUCUCUGGGCCAAUACUGACGCUGAGGAGCGAAAGCGUGGGGAGCGAACAGG
rnacentral:rRNA from 1 species